rnacentral:rRNA from 2 species
AACAAUUUUUCCUCGCCUACAAUGACAGUCGAACGAUGAACCCCCUUCGGGUGGGGAUUAGUGGCGAACGGGUGAGUAACACGCGCGGCAAUCUGCCCUGCACUCUCGGGACAAGCCCUGGAAACGGGGUCUAAUACCGGAUACUGACCCCCGUUGGCAUCUGCGGGGUUCGAAAGCUCCGGUCGUGCUGGAAGAGCCCCCCGCCUAUCCGCUUGGUGGUGAGGUAACGGCUCACCCAGGCGACCACCGGUAGACGGACUGAGAGGGCGACCGGCCCCCCUGGGACUGACACACACGCCCCCACUCCUACCGGAGGCAGCAGUGGGGAAUAUUGCACAAUGGGCGACAGCCUGAUGCCUCGACCCCCCGUGAGGGAUGACGGCCUUCCGGUUGUAAACCUCCUUCACGCAGGGAAGAAGCCAACGUGACCGUACCUGCAGAAGAAGCGCCCGAUAACUACCUGCCACUCUACCCCCGUAAUAUCCACGGCUCGAGCCUUGUCCGGAAUUAUUGGGCGUUAAGAGCUUCUACGCCGGUUGUCCCGCCCGUUGCGGAAAGCCCCGCGCUUCCCUUCCGUCCUGCCUUCUAUACCGGCAGGACCGAGUUCGGUCGGGCGAGAUCUCCAUUCCUGGUGUAUUCUUCCGAAAUGCCAAGAUAUCAAGAUGAACACCGGUGGCGAAUGCUGAUCCCUUGGCCCAUACUGACUCUGACAUCUGAAGUGUGGUGCAUCAAUAGGAUUAAUACACUGGUAAGUCCUCGCCUUCUCCGGUGUGCACUAUGUGUGUGGUAUUUUACACGUGUCCGCGCCUUAACUAACGCAUUUAAUUGCCCCAUCUGGUGAAUUUUGUUUCAAGGUUAAAACUCAUAGGAAUUGACUGGGGGCCCUCACAAGCCGCGUAGCAUGUGGUUUAAUUCAAUUCUACUCUAAAUAACCUUAUCAAGGUUUUGCAUCUCCUGUAAUCUCUUGGUAUCUAUCUUCCCCUUGUGGUCUGUGUUAAGG